AGAGUUUGAUCAUGGCUCAGGAUGAACGCUGGCGACGUGGAUUAGGCAUGCAAGUCAAACGGCUCGCAAGAGCAGUGGCAAACGAGGCAGUAACACGUAGGUACACCCCCCAAAGUCAGGAAUAACUCAUCGAAAGAUGAGCUAAUACUUGAUAGUCUCGAAAGAGUAAAGAUUUAUCGCUUUGGGAGUGGCCUGCGGGAUAUCAGCUAGUUGGUAGGGUAAAAGCCUACCAAGGCUAUGACGUCUAGGGGACCUGAGAGGGUGACCCCCACCGAUGGAACUGAGAUACGGUCCAUACACCUACGGGUGGCCGCAGUCGAGAAUCUUCCGCAAUGGGCGAAAGCCUGACGGAGCGACGUCGCGUGGUUGAUGAAGUCUCUAGGGAUGUAAAAACCUUUUAUGAGCCAAAAAGUAAUUGAUUAGCUCAUGAAUAAGGGGUUGCUAAACUCGUGCCAGCAGCAGCGGUAAUACGAGUGCCCCAAGCGUUAUCCGGAAUUAUUGGGCGUAAAGGAUGUGUAGGCGGUCAGAUUAGUCUCUUGUUAAAGCUCUCGGCUUAACCGGGAAAGUGCAAGGGAAACGGUCUGACUAGAGGAUGUGAGAGGUGUGCGGAACUCAUAGUGUAGGGGUGAAAUCCGUUGAUAUUAUGGGGAACACCAAAAGCGAAGGCAGCACACUGGCACAUUCCUGACGCUGAGACAUGAAAGCGUGGGUAGCGAAUGGGAUUAGAUACCCCAGUAGUCCACGCCCUAAACGAUGUUCAUUAGCUAUUCGGAGUAUCGACCCUCUGAGUGGCGUAGCUAACGCGUUAAAUGAACCGCCUGGGUAGCACGGCCGCAAGGCUAAAACUCAAAGGAAUAGACGGGGACUUGCACAAGUAGUGGAUUAUGUGGUUUAAUUCGACGAUAAACGAAGAACCUUACCCGGGUUUGAAACCUAGUUGAAUAUUUUAGGAAACUUUAAUAGUCUCACAAGGACAAUUAGGCAGGUGAUGCAUGGCCGUCGUCAGUUCGUGGUUUGAAUUGUUCCCUUAAGUGGGGUAACGAACGCAACCCUCGUUGGCUGUUACAAGUGUCAGCCGAGACUGCCC
rnacentral:rRNA from 1 species